rnacentral:lncRNA from 1 species
ACAACUAAGUAUGAAUCACCAUAAUCAUGAAUUAACACUUUACCUGGACAUCGUGAUUCACGGUGUGAGUUAUUUUCCAACUUCUUCGAAAUCUUGAAUUCUUCGAUCUUCGAGAACACGCACCGAUUCUUCAAGACUCCGACUCACUUCACGAAACUUGCCAACACACAAGACUUAACAAUCUCCCCCUUUGGCAAUUUCGUGACAAAACUCACACAAACUCAAAAAUUACAAUUUAAAGAAAAACGAAGUUCAAUUGUCAUCACCAAAACAUUGAACUCCUCGCGUGUAAUCCAAAUACAAUUUGAAACUUAAACUUACAUAAAAAAUUCCUAAAACAAACUCUAUGACUUAGACGCAACAAGGAGUCCUGAAGUCUUGAUUUUCCUGCAAAACAAUUUAUCCAAAAAGAUAUAGAAAGUUAAAUCCUUACAAAAUUACAAUUUACACUUCUUCUCCCCCUUUGUUUUUUAUUCCUUCUUCUUCUCAAAAUAUCACUCCUUGUCUUCCUUUGUUCACCUUUGCUUUAGAUCAAUACCUGUUCACCAUUGUUCUCCCCCUUUUUGUCAAAAAUUGCCAAAGAUAAAACAUAUAAAGAGAGAAAAUAUACUAAAAGCAUAAGAGUAGUCAAAUCAUAGUUAUAGGCCUAAAACAAAAGUAAAAACAUGCAAAUGAAAGAUAAAUAUGCAAAGAUAAAACAUCGUCCUAAAAGUGAAGUAGCAAGACUAAGUACGAGGAUGUAAUCACUCCGUGUCCUCGCUAUCAUCAUCAUCUCCUCCUGCACCAGCUCCAGACCCUCCAGCCUCAGUAGUAUCACCAGACGGUGGAAUGAGUGGAUGUCGUGAAGUCGAUCUGGUAUAAGUAGUGUAGGUAGGCUCAAUAGGAAAGAUAUCAUCAUGCCUACAUCUCAUUUUCUCCAUCAUUCUCUUCAUCCCCAUCUCCACCUUUCUCGCAAGAUCGGCCAGUUUCUUCUUCAUAGAGCGCACCUCAUGAUGAAGUGAUUCGACAGUAAUCACUCCCCCUGAGCUAGAAGAUCCCUCACGCGCUGCUCGCGGUGGAGGUGCUGAACUAGAAGCUCCUCUGGAUGACCUUUGGUUUGUUGAAAAGUCUUCAAUGUGCUCCUUGACUUUGCCCAAGUUACAGCAUCAAUAGGUCCAAGUCCAAAGUCAUAUUUUUCACAUGACACGUCAACUCCGUGUUCUUGAAGAAUCCUCGUGAUCAACAAUGGAAACGGAAGUAGAUCACGUCGAACCUGAGACUGUAUGACAUGAACCAUUCGUUGCCACAUAAGAAACGGAAUAUUGAUGUUCAAUCCGCCAGCUUCCUCAGGAUGUCCAAGAAGAUACAGAAGCACAAGACGAUCCCAACGAAUUCUUUUCGUUCCAAUUGUGGGUUGAACAUUGUAGCUCAUUACCAAUGAGAGCAGAUGAUACUCAGGUAGCAAAUCCUUAGAUUCCACAUAUGAAUGAUUAGUCCUAACACCUUCCUUGCAUAUAGCUUGAAUAACAGCCUCCCAGUGGGUUGAAGACUGGAAAAUUCCUAUCGUAUAGUAAAGGCCGGUAGUAUCAACAUGCAUACCUAAGAGCUAUCCAAUAGUAUAAGGAGUGACGUGAAUCUUCUUUCUACGUACAUAAGUCUCAAACACAUAAGUCCCAGUCUCCUCAUCCUCUCCAAGUACUACCCCGUUCAUAUAGAACUCUCGAAUUAGCUCUACACAAAAUGCGGCACGAGCUGGAACCCGUCCAAAAGGCUCAAUAGGGACCCUCUGCAGCAAUCUGCCAAAAUCAGGUACCUCCUUGACUAGCUCAGUGAAGUUGACAUAGCGCUCAGCUAGAACUGAUCGGCUCGAAUAAAUCCGCUGUCGCUCUAAUGAAGCCUCUGCAGCACGUUUGGAGCGCCUUUCACGUGCACGAGAAUCACCUCCUCGUGAGGAUUCGCCUGCUAGGCCUUUUCCUUUAGCAGCCCUCGUAACCGCUUCUUCAGUAGCUUCAGGUGAGCUCGCUUGAUAAUCUGGAUCUGAUCCUGAUGACUCGUCGGCAGUACGAGUUCUCUUUGAUAACCCAUGUUGUCCUCUACCACCACCACAGCCACGACCGGCGACCAUAAGCACCAAAAGCAGUAGCACAAGCGAGAAUGCCAUUUUCUUACAUAAAAAUUAACCUUGCAUAAACAAAACUUUUUAAAAAAAAAUCUGUAAAAAUAGUGAAAAAAAUUUCUAAUAACAUUAGAAUGCAUACAAAUGCUAUUUCUAACCAGAUCAUACAAAAAAUUUCCAUCAAAAAUGACAUUUAAAAAAAAAUUCCGAAAUUACACGAAAAAUGGAGCUUAGAACAUGGAUCAGCGAAAAAUAAUGUGUUUUGAUGUGUUUCAAGUGUUCUAGAAGCAAGAUAAUGUCCUUAAGCAGUGAUCUACAGCAAAAAAUUGCAUCAAAAACGAUGAAAAACAGAGAUCUAAGUAUGAACUCGAAAUUUUUUCGAAAAAUAUGUAAAACGAGGUUUGAUCCAUAAAUCCGAGCAAACAACUUACAAAUCCACGUGAAAAGUAGUAAAUCUGAAGGGGAUCGUCACCUAGGACCGUCAGGAGAAGAAAGAUGCGGUUUUGAUGAAGAUUUGGGAGAGAAUCGAAACAUGUAUCCGGUUAUAUAACUUGCGGCAACAGUAAUUUGUACCGGUACGGGAUUUUGUACCGGUACACUUUCUCAGAUUUUGAAAAUUUUGAAUUUAAAAACCUUUUAAACUUAAAUUAAUUUCAUAUAAAUUAAGGACUUUACUCCAAAAAUCAGUAUGAUGAAGAUAAAAUAUUAUACGAUUUCAAAAUACAUCGAAACAUCAAAAUUUUAUUAUCGAAAAUAAUCUAAUGAUUCAGAACCAUCAAGAUGUAAGCUGAUGAAAAAUAAUUUUUAGAAAUUCAACAAAAUUGACACCAAUUUAUCGCAAUAUGUUCAAAAUAGAGAUUUAACUAAUAUGACUCCGGGGGUGGCUCUUUGAGCAUCUUUUCACCUUACCACCUUAUAACUCCGAAAAUUCUAAAAUAUUCAAUCAAUUUUUUUUUCAACCUUUUUCGGUUAAUCAAUUCAAUCUUCAUGUGGUAGCUUCACACACUUGCCGGACGACCGGGGUGGUAGCUCUUUCCUACAUGUGGUGGUAGUUUUCACACUCCUUUAGGAUGUAACUCUUCGACAUCUUUUUAAACAUAGGAGUUUCUUUUUCCCUUUUUUUUUUUCAAACUCCCCCUAAGUUAGACAAUCUCACAAUUGAAAAUAAUUUUGACGAAUUUUAGUCAAUUAGAGAAUAUCUAUCCAUCAUAUCCAACACACACAACCAAGAUGAAUUAAUCACCAAGAGAUCAAAUUUGAUUUCAAAACUUUGAUGAAUAUAUGCAUUAAGAGAUCAUAUAUCAAAUUAUCGUCGAAAUAAUAAAAAGUGGAGUAAAACCGAUAAUUAAUAUGAAUUUAACUUAAUUAUCAUUGUGAAGAUAAACACCGUUCAAGCACCUUUCCCUUUUUUUAAAAAAAAAAAAUUUCUCUCUCCAAAUCAUAGAUCUCAAUCAUCUCUUUUCUCGAAAAUUUUGAAUUCCUAAACACAUUUUCCUCAAAAUGAUUUUUAAAUAAACAAAAAUUCAAUGCACCAAAAAUCAUUCAAACAUGUAAUGCAAUGAAUAAAAUUAAACAACAAGUACCAAUCAAAGCAUUACACUAAAGAUCAAAAAUGACUAAGACGAGGAGCAAGGAAAGAUAUCACCUUUCCGGAUCCAAACUUGUCGGAUCGUUGGUUUUCUCGACUUGUCGACGUUAGGUGCCGUUUGUUUAGACUUUUGAUCAACCGUUGGUGUUUUCUUCGGUUGAGGCUUAGGUUGAAUUUAUCGUUGAGGUUUAUGCACCCGGUUUGCAUGAACUUGGCGUUGUGCAUUAGAAAUCCGAUUCUUUUGUGGUACUCGACUAACUUGAUUUUGCCUUUGAUUCCGUGGAGAAUGUCGAAUAGUAGAUGAAGCCGAUGGAUGUUUUGAAGUUGCUGAUUGUGACUUGCCAUUUUUGUUCGGGCAAUUCCUUUUGAUGUGUCCAUCGAUGCCACAUCGAUGACACACUUUGCCUUUUAAAGUUGUUGAGACUUUAGAUGUUGCCGUUUGAUCCUUCUCAACAUAUGACCGUUCAUAUCCAAGGCCCAAUUUGUUCGUUUGACCUAAUCCAAGCAUUUUGUCCAACUUCUUUGAUCCCGAAGAAAAUUGUUGAAGAUCGGAUUGGAGUUGACGAACUUGGUUGGUCAAGACUUGAUUGGACUUGUGCGAUUCAUGAAAUUGAUGCUUCAAAAAUCCAAUCUUGUCGUUAGAAGAUUUGAUCGUUGAUUCUGCAUCAUUAAGCUUCUCUUGGAGGUCCGAAACAUUCUUCAAACUUGAGUCCCUUUCCUCCUCAAGAGCCUUAUUCAAAGUCUUUACAUUGUUGUUUUCCUCCUCAAGUUCCAACAAACGACGUCUCAACUUCUUGUUGAGUUUAGCCAUCUUCUUUGAUUCAAUGAGAAGUUGAUUGUACGCUUCCGCUAUGUCGUCGUCGUUUGAUUCUUUCUCACUUCCGCCAUUGUUGCUCGAAGAAUCAUAUGAAGAAAGAGAAAUAUUGGAAUUAGUAGCAAAAGAGGAUAAACACACAACAUUUGACGAAGGAGUAUUAGCAAAUAAGGCAAUUUGAUCAUUCUUUUCUUCGUCACUUGACGAUGAUUCACUUGAUGUUGAAUCAUCCCACGUCUUUGCUUGCAUAGCCUUUUGUCUAUACGUCUUCUUUGAAGGACAAUCCGUCGCAAUGUGGCCGUAGCCUUUGCACUUGAAGCAUUGGAUCUCGCCUUCAAAUACAUCAUUUUCCUUUGAGGACUUUGCAAGGUUUUUAUCCUUAGACUUUGAAGAUGAAGAUGAUUUAGACAAAGAUUGUCGCUUAGAUGAUGAAGCCUUGUCCAAUCUAUUCUUGUUCCAAAAAUUUCGACGAAACUUCUUCUUAAGAAGCGCCAAUUGUUGUUCAAAGUCCGCAAUUGAUAAAUCAUCGUCGGAACUCGAGUCUUCAUCCUUCUCCUUUGUAGAUUUCAAUGCAACACCUGUGCUUUUAGAAGAAGACUUGGAAGAAGAUUGAUUAGUAGAAAAGGUCAUUUCGUAAGUUUGUAAAGCACCUACUAAUUCCUCGACUUUCAUCUCGUCCGGAUGUUUGACCGUUUCGAUCGCGGCUACUUUAGCCCGAAAACGUUCCGAAAGAGUUCGAAGAAUUUUACGAACAACUUUAGAAUCCGGGAUUUUCUCUCCUAAAUUAGCACAUGUAUUAAUGAUAUCUUGAAGCCUAGUGUAGUAAUCGGUAAAAGAUUCAUACUCCUCAUACGAAUAGAAUCAAAUUGAGCUGUCAACAUUUGGAGCUUUUGAAUUUUUACUAAACUAGUACCCUCAUGUGUAAUUUGUAGAGUAUCCCAAAUUUCCUUGGCCGUUUCGCAUGCCGAAACACCGAGUAAACUCCGUUUGCGAUAAAGCGUUGAAUAAAGUGAUUAAUUCCUUUACCGUUAAACGAAGAUGAAUCGUUUUCAUCUUUUGUCAACUUAUUUCGUGGUUUAGAGGCGGUAGCACCAUCGACAACUUCGGUAGGAUGUUUCCAUUCGAAUUCAAUAGCUUUCCAUACCGCUCAUCGAUUGCGAUUAGAAAGCUCUCAUGCCGAACUUUCCAAUAGGCAUAAUUCGAGCCAUCGAAAGUGUGGUCGAUUAAUGUUACCGCCUUCGACCAUUAGAUAUCAAUUUAUCUAGAUCCCGCUCUGAUACCAAUUGAAAGUUUUGAGGAGCCCAAGGAUCUAUCUAAGAUUGUAUCUAUCACCUAGAGGGGGGUGAAUAGGUGAACGGCCAAAAACCACAAAUCUCGAUGCAAUAAAAAUAAUGCAGAAAAUAAAAAGCACCGAGAUUUACGUGGGAAAAACUCCAACUUGGAGAAAAACCCACGGGACAACACGCGAAAAAACAAUCACUAAGAAGAAAAAAUUACAAGUGAUUACCAACUCCCGGAUUCAACCUCUCUUAACCUCCUAUGAACUUCGCGCUACCUCCGGGUUGUCCACGCCCUCACGUUCGAGUCCAACGAACGCCUUCACUUCGAAUCCAGAAGCUCCACUCACGUCGAACCACGACGCCACUCGAAUCCACGAGUCAACGAUCCGAAUCCACGAACCGCCUUUGUUCACGCCGAAUCCACACGCCAUUCAUGAAGAGUAUCAUGAUUAUGGUGAUCCUCCGCUUAGGAGUAUCGUAGAAAACCACGGAAUAGAACUCCAAGCGAAGCGGAGAUCAAUCGACAUAUUAAUAUCAAAUUUUAAUAUCUCGAUUUGAUCUAAAAGAGGCUUUUGUAGAAAAUAGGUUUUAGAUGAAAUCCGAGCCUCUAGGGUUUCUCAAAUAUGUAUUUUCGUGAUGCUUGAUAUGUUAGAGAAGCCCAAUAGCUUAUUUAUAGACUUUAGAAUCAAUUGGAGUCGGAUUAGAAAGAUUUCACGAUUUUACACUGUGUACGCGUACACUUUAGGCUGUCACGGUUACACAAUGACGGAACGAAAACCUGACGAACAGUGAAACGGUUACAUCCUUGAUGGCCGUACCGGUACACAAUUUUGUGGCCGGUACACUUCUGAUGCUGUACCGGUACACUUUGCAAAUUUCCGCCGUUUCGGGUUUUGCAAAGUUCCGAUGCACUUUCUAAUCCGUUAGACAAUGCUAUUAUGAUUCUAAUGUCUACAACUAAGUAUGAAUCAGCAUAAUCAUGAAUUAACACUUUACCUGGACAUCGUGAUUCACGGUGUGAGUUAUUUUCCAACUUCUUCGAAAUCUUGAAUUCUUCGAUCUUCGACAACACGCACCGAUUCUUCAAAACUCCGACUCACUUCACGAAACUUGCCAACACACAAGACUUAACAGCUACCAAUUUUGUCCGGUUCGGGCGCGUCAAACAGACG